rnacentral:rRNA from 1 species
AUACGGAGGAUGCGAGCGUUAUCCGGAUUUAUUGGGUUUAAAGGGAGCGUAGGUGGGAUAUUAAGUCAGCUGUGAAAGUUUGGGGCUCAACCUUAAAAUUGCAGUUGAUACUGGUUUCCUUGAGUACGGUACAGGUGGGCGGAAUUCGUGGUGUAGCGGUGAAAUGCUUAGAUAUCACGAAGAACUCCGAUCGCGAAGGCAGCUCACCGGGCCGGAACUGACACUGAUGCUCGAAAGUGCGGGUAUCAAACAGGAUUAGAUACCCUGGUAGUCCGCACAGUAAACGAUGAAUACUCGCUGUUUGCGAUAUACAGUAAGCGGCCAAGCGAAAGCGUUAAGUAUUCCACCUGGGGAGUACGCCGGCAACGGUGAAACUCAAAGGAAUUGACGGGG